rnacentral:ncRNA from 1 species
GCAGCCAAAAGCAUAACGUUGCCUAAGUGCAAUCUUCUGCAGGGUAUCGGAUGGGGUUGAAAGUGAAAGUUGUCAAAAAAUGAUGGAAAACCAAUUCACUUGAGUGAGACAGAGGAGAGUGGAAUUUCGUUUGUAGAGGUGAAAUCUGGAGAUCUAUGAAGGAGGCCAAAAGCGAAGACAGCUCUCUGGGUCCCUACCGACACUGGUGUGCGAAAGCAUUGGGGGCGAACGGAAUUAGAUACCCUGGUAGUCCAUGCCGUAAACGAUGAGUUAGAUACCCUGGUAGUCCAUGCCAUAAAUGAUGAGUGUUCAUCCUUGGUCUACGCAGAUUAGGGGCCCAACUAACUAGUGAAACACUCCAUCUUAGGAGUACGGUCACAAGACCGAGACUCAAAGGAAUUGACAGGGGCCUAGGAGUAUUAGAGUCAAUGGUCAAAAGCUUUGAUUGAUAAUGACGUGUCAAUGGACAUGUCGAAUCCACGCGUUU